rnacentral:rRNA from 1 species
CAGCCGCCGCGGGAAUACGUAGGUGGCGAGCGUUGUCCGGAUUUAUUGGGCGUAAAGGGCUCGCAGGCGGUUUCUUAAGUCUGAUGUGAAAGCCCCCGGCUCAACCGGGGAGGGUCAUUGGAAACUGGGAAAUUUGAGUGCAGAAGAGGAGAGUGGAAUUCCACGUGUAGCGGUGAAAUGCGUAGAGAUGUGGAGGAACACCAGUGGCGAAGGCGACUCUCUGGUCUGUAACUGACGCUGAGGAGCGAAAGCGUGGGGAGCGAACAGGAUUAGAUACCCCCGUAGUCCCUGUCUCUUAUAC